GUUUACCGCUAGGGGAGCCCGGACGAUGCCCGGGCUGAGAGGGCGCCGGCGGCGGCGUCGACCCUUUGCACCUGAUCUGGAGGAAUGCCAGCGGAGGAAAGCGGAUAACGCGAGUU
rnacentral:ncRNA from 2 species